rnacentral:rRNA from 1 species
GAUGAACGCUGGCGGCGUGCCUAAUACAUGCAAGUCGAGCGAACGGACGAGAAGCUUGCUUCUCUGAUGUUAGCGGCGGACGGGUGAGUAACACGUGGAUAACCUACCUAUAAGACUGGGAUAACUUCGGGAAACCGGAGCUAAUACCGGAUAAUAUUUUGAACCGCAUGGUUCAAAAGUGAAAGACGGUCUUGCUGUCACUUAUAGAUGGAUCCGCGCUGCAUUAGCUAGUUGGUAAGGUAACGGCUUACCAAGGCAACGAUGCAUAGCCGACCUGAGAGGGUGAUCGGCCACACUGGAACUGAGACACGGUCCAGACUCCUACGGGAGGCAGCAGUAGGGAAUCUUCCGCAAUGGGCGAAAGCCUGACGGAGCAACGCAGCGUGAGUGAUGAAGGUCUUCGGAUCGUAAAACUCUGUUAUUAGGGAAGAACAUAUGUGUAAGUAACUGUGCACAUCUUGACGGUACCUAAUCAGAAAGCCACGGCUAACUACGUGCCAGCAGCCGCGGUAAUACGUAGGUGGCAAGCGUUAUCCGGAAUUAUUGGGCGUAAAGCGCGCGUAGGCGGUUUUUUAAGUCUGAUGUGAAAGCCCACGGCUCAACCGUGGAGGGUCAUUGGAAACUGGAAAACUUGAGUGCAGAAGAGGAAAGUGGAAUUCCAUGUGUAGCGGUGAAAUGCGCAGAGAUAUGGAGGAACACCAGUGGCGAAGGCGACUUUCUGGUCUGUAACUGACGCUGAUGUGCGAAAGCGUGGGGAUCAAACAGGAUUAGAUACCCUGGUAGUCCACGCCGUAAACGAUGAGUGCUAAGUGUUAGGGGGUUUCCGCCCCUUAGUGCUGCAGCUAACGCAUUAAGCACUCCGCCUGGGGAGUACGACCGCAAGGUUGAAACUCAAAGGAAUUGACGGGGACCCGCACAAGCGGUGGAGCAUGUGGUUUAAUUCGAAGCAACGCGAAGAACCUUACCAAAUCUUGACAUCCUUUGACAACUCUAGAGAUAGAGCCUUCCCCUUCGGGGGACAAAGUGACAGGUGGUGCAUGGUUGUCGUCAGCUCGUGUCGUGAGACGUUGGGUUAAGUCCCGCAACGAGCGCAACCCUUAAGCUUAGUUGCCAUCAUUAAGUUGGGCACUCUAAGUUGACUGCCGGUGACAAACCGGAGGAAGGUGGGGAUGACGUCAAAUCAUCAUGCCCCUUAUGAUUUGGGCUACACACGUGCUACAAUGGACAAUACAAAGGGCAGCGAAACCGCGAGGUCAAGCAAAUCCCAUAAAGUUGUUCUCAGUUCGGAUUGUAGUCUGCAACUCGACUACAUGAAGCUGGAAUCGCUAGUAAUCGUAGAUCAGCAUGCUACGGUGAAUACGUUCCCGGGUCU